rnacentral:rRNA from 1 species
UACGGAGGGGGCUAGCGUUGUUCGGAAUUACUGGGCGUAAAGCGCACGUAGGCGGCUUUGUAAGUUAGAGGUGAAAGCCCGGAGCUUAACUCCGGAACUGCCUUUAAGACUGCAUCGCUAGAAUCGUGGAGAGGUGAGUGGAAUUCCGAGUGUAGAGGUGAAAUUCGUAGAUAUUCGGAAGAACACCAGUGGCGAAGGCGACUCACUGGACACGUAUUGACGCUGAGGUGGCGAAAGCGUGGGGAGCAAACAGG